rnacentral:lncRNA from 1 species
AUAUAUCUAGGCAAAUUGCCUAGAAGUGAAUCCCCUCUCCUGCUUAAGUCCUUCCCACAGAGAGCGGUUUGAUAUGUCACUGAAACCAGCAUCCAGGUGGUAUUGCUCCAUAUGCCUGAGACCCUAACAAAAGCCUAAUUACAACUCAUAUGCCUGGAGCCAGGACAUGUGCAGGAUGGGUCCUGCCCACAAGAAAGAUUGUGACAUCUCACUGGACAAGCACCCACCCAGACUCUGCCAAGAGAGGGGAUUAUUACAUAUUGCAGAGCCCAGCACCUAGGUGGAGUGACUCUCAUCUUUUUCUUCUACCCCGUAUAUAGCCAGCUUGGUGACCUACUAUUUGAGUCUAUACCCAGGCCCAGACCACAGAUGAAAUUGUGCAAUAUGUGGAACAAACACCUAAACAAUAUAUAACACCUUCCUUGGCUCUGUCUACAAAGGGCACUUUUAUAUAUCACUGGGACCAUCAACCAGGUGAUGUUAAUUAUCUUCCUGAAACCUGUCUACAAAGAGAGUUGUGUCGUAUACCUAGGCCCGUCAUGUAAGUGAUGUCAGUCCCUUCUACUGCCUUGGCCCUGCACUUACAGUGCAUUGUGACACAUAACAAGGUACUGCACACAGACGAUGUGAUUCUCCUUUUUGGGUUCUGCCAAAAGGAAGCAUUGUAAUAAAUCGCUUGGCUCAGUA